rnacentral:rRNA from 1 species
CCCUUAGAUGUUCUGGGCAGCACGCGCGCUACAAUGGUCUUCGCAAACGGAUGCAUUCUCGAAGGAGAAUGCCAAUCUUGGAAUCUAUGCCUUGGUCGGGACAGUUGCUUGCAAUUUUUCGACUCGAACCAGGAAUUCCUUGUAAUCGUGAUUCAUCACAUCACGAUGAAUACGUCCCUGCCCUUUAUACACACCGCCCGUCGCUCCUACCGAUCGAAGAGUUAGGUGAAUUGUUUUGAUCGAUAAGAUUUGACUAUGGUCAACUCUCGUUGGGAAAUUCUGUGAAUCUGACUGUUUAGAGGAAGGAAAAGUCGUAACA